GAUGAACGCUGGCGGCGUGCCUAAUACAUGCAAGUCGAGCGAACGGACGAGAAGCUUGCUUCUCUGAUGUUAGCGGCGGACGGGUGAGUAACACGUGGAUAACCUACCUAUAAGACUGGGAUAACUUCGGGAAACCGGAGCUAAUACCGGAUAAUAUUUUGAACCGCAUGGUUCAAAAGUGAAAGACGGUCUUGCUGUCACUUAUAGAUGGAUCCGCGCUGCAUUAGCUAGUUGGUAAGGUAACGGCUUACCAAGGCAACGAUGCAUAGCCGACCUGAGAGGGUGAUCGGCCACACUGGAACUGAGACACGGUCCAGACUCCUACGGGAGGCAGCAGUAGGGAAUCUUCCGCAAUGGGCGAAAGCCUGACGGAGCAACGCCGCGUGAGUGAUGAAGGUCUUCGGAUCGUAAAACUCUGUUAGUAGGGAAGAACAUAUGUGUAAGUAACUGUGCACAUCUUGACGGUACCUAAUCAAAAAGCCACGGCUAACUACGUG
rnacentral:rRNA from 1 species